AUCAGUUAUGAUUUCUUAGAUGGUACUUUUUUUACUUGGAUAACUGUGGUAAUUCUAGAGCUAAUACAUGCGAAUGAGUUCCUUUCGGGGAGCGCUUUUAUUAGACCAAGACCAAACGGCCUCCCGGCCGUCAGUCGUGGUGACUCUGGAUAACUAUAGCGGAUCGCACGGUCUCCGUACCGGCGACGCAUCUUUCAAGUGUCUGCCUUAUCAACUUUCGAUGGUAGGUUAUAUGCCUACCAUGGUUGUUACGGGUAACGGGGAAUCAGGGUUCGAUUCCGGAGAGGGAGCCUGAGAAACGGCUACCACAUCCAAGGAAGGCAGCAGGCGCGCAAAUUACCCACUCCCGGCACGGGGAGGUAGUGACGAAAAAUAACAAUACGGGACUCGUUCGAGUUUCCGUAAUUGGAAUGAGUACACUCUAAACCUUUUAACAAGGAUCAAUUGGAGGA
rnacentral:rRNA from 3 species